rnacentral:rRNA from 1 species
GACAAACGCUGGCGGGGUGCAUGAGACAUGCAAGUCGAACGAGUGCCAUCGGGCUUGCUCGAUGGCUACCUAGUGGCGGACGGCUGAGUAACGCGUAGGUGACCUACCCGGAAGUGGGGAAUAACUGCCCGAAAGGGUGGCUAAUACCGCAUGUGGUCGGCGAUUCGAAUUCGCCGUCUAAAGGAGCAAUUCGCUUCCCGGAGGGGCCUGCGUCCGAUUAGCUAGUUGGUGGGGAACGGCUCACCAAGGCGACGACGGGUAGCUGGUCUGAGAGGAUGGCCAGCCACAUUGGGACUGAGACACGGCCCAGGACUCCUACGGGAGGCAGCAGUGGGGAAUAUUGCGCGAUGGACGAAAGUCUGACGCAGCGACGCCGCGUGUGGGAUGGACGGUCUUCGGAUUGUAAACCACUGUCGGGAGGGACGAAUACGCCGCAAGGCGGGUGACGGUACCUCCAAAGGAAGCACCGG